rnacentral:rRNA from 1 species
AGUGGCGCACGGGUGAGUAACACGUGACUAACCUACCCUCGAGUGGGGAAUAACCUCGGGAAACCGGGGCUAACACCGCAUAACAUCUACGGAUCAAAUGCGCAAGCAGCUUGAGGAGGGGGUCGCGGCUGAUUAGCUAGUUGGCGGGGUAAUGGCCCACCAAGGCAGUGAUCAGUAGCCGGCCUGAGAGGGCGCACGGCCACACUGGAACUGAAACACGGUCCAGACUCCUACGGGAGGCAGCAGUGGGGAAUUUUGCGCAAUGGGGGAAACCCUGACGCAGCAACGCCGCGUGGAGGAUGAAGCCCCUUGGGGUGUAAGCUCCUUUCGAUCGGGACGAUUAUGACGGUACCGGAUGAAGAAGCACCGGCUAACUCUGUGCCAGCAGCCGCGGUAAUACAGAGGGUGCAAGCGUUGUUCGGAAUUAUUGGGCGUAAAGGGUGCGUAGGCGGUGCGGUAGGUCUUCUGUGAAAUCUCCGGGCUUAACUCGGAGUCUGCAGGGGA